rnacentral:rRNA from 1 species
GACAGAGGUGGCAAGCGUUGUUCGGAUUUACUGGGCUUAAAGGGCGUGUAGGCGUCCUGAUAAGUCAGAUGUGGAAGCCUUGGGCUUAACCCAAGAAUUGCAUUUGAUACUGUCGGGAUUGAGUCACGCAUGGGAGGGCGGAAUUCCUGGUGUGGCAGUGAAAUGCGUAGAUAUCAGGAGGAAGGCCUGUGGUGAAGAUGGCCCUCUGGGUGAUGACUGACGCUGAGGCGCGAAAGCGUGGGUAGCAAACAGGAUUAGAUACCCUGGUAGUCCACGCCCUAAACGGUGGGUACUAGGUGUGGGUGGCGAUAGUCAUCUGUGCCGAAGGGAAACCAUUAAGUACCCCGCCUGGGGAGUACGGCCGCAAGGUUGAAACUCAAAUGAAUUGACGG